UGUUUCCCGGAUAUUCACACUUAAAAACUGUACAUGAUGAUGCCUACCUUCCUCCUCAGUCUUUUAUAGUGUCCGAUAGGCCUAGAGAAUCACAAAAGGCUACAAGUCACAUCAUGGGUCCCAUCUUUCUUAUGAUAUUCACAGUAACAGCAGGUGUACUGGCCAUCUCAGAGGAAAUAGCUGUCUACCCCGCCAUGCUUUUUGGAUCAAAGGCUCAAGUUAGAAAGGGAGACACUAUAGAUUUGAAGUGUAAUAUCUCUGGCAUCAUAAGAUUCUGGGACAAGGUUCAUGUGUACAUUUACAAGAAUGGAGUUGAGAUGGCAAUGAAGGUUUUGGAGAAAGGUGAAGAUGACGCUAUUUUCACCAUGAAGGAUGUUACAAGAGAAGACUCAGGCAACUACAGCUGUGUGUACACCAGAGAUAAACUUUUACUGGAUCAAGUGAAGUCAGCAGGCAAGAAUUUAGUAGCCAUCUGUGUCUACGAAGAGGCUGCACAUGAUGUAAUACUGGUCAAUGUAAUCCGACUGAUAAGUUCAGCUGUUGUGGUCAUACUUCUGCUGACUGUAGUGGCUGUUAGUUCAUGCUGUUCAAAAAGAGGUAAUUAUGAUGAUUGAUGUCUCUUUUCAUAUAGUAGUGACCUAUUGACAGAUACACUU
rnacentral:lncRNA from 1 species